rnacentral:lncRNA from 1 species
UUUUAUGGAUAAUAAAGUGUGUUUUGAGUAAGAGUUAUCUAACUAGAAAUAAGGAGCGUGUUUUUGUGUUAAGGACUAUUUGAGCAAGGUUUUUUUUUUGAGAGAUAAGUAGCACGCUACCCGCUUCGUUUAUUUCAUUUAGAAAUAAACUUAGCUGGAAAUAUAAAUCAACUAGGAUUCGAAUUUGGGUCUCGGGUACCAACCACCAAGCCUUUUACCACUUGCUCUAGGGACGGUCGGUAUUAGUGAGAAUACAAGGUUAUUAGUGAGAAUAACACAGUAUUAUAUCCUCAUUUCGUACUAUAAAAUUGAAAGUUUUUGGUGCUAAUUAAACUAGCUGGAUGUUGGUGGAGUAUCUGACUUGAGAGAAACAACAGUAUCUUCUUUUUUUCUUUUUUUUUUAAGAGAUAGGUAGUACGUUACCCUCUUCGUUUAUUUUAUUUAGAAAUAAACUUAGCUGAAAAUAUGAAUCAACUAGAAUUCGAAUUUGAGUCUCGGAUACCAACCACCAAACCCUUUGCCACUUGCUCUAGAGAUGGUCGGUAAC